CAGUCGCCACGGGAAUACGUAGGUGGCAAGCGUUGUCCGGAAUUAUUGGGCGUAAAGGGCUCGCGGGCGGUUUCUUAAGUCUGAUGUGAAAGCCCCCGGCUCAACCGGGGAGGGUCAUUGGAAACUGGGAGACUUGAGUGCAGAAGAGGAGAGUGGAAUUCCACGUGUAGCGGUGAAAUGCGUAGAGAUGUGGAGGAACACCAGUGGCGAAGGCGACUCUCUGGUCUGUAACUGACGCUGAGGAGCGAAAGCGUGGGGAGCGAACAGGAUUAGAGACCCCAGUAGUCCCUGUCUCUUAUAC
rnacentral:rRNA from 1 species